rnacentral:lncRNA from 1 species
GUUCCCUGCCACCACCGUCCCCCCCACCCCCCGCGGCCUCUGGGUACCCACUGGCCGCGCCCUCGCAGGAGCCUCCGGCCCACUUCCUGCCCCCGCCCCUCCGGGCCUGGCAGCACUUCCUUUGCAAAACUGGGCAGCCCCAGGCCCGGGCAGGAAGUGACCUCCCGGCCCGCCCUCUCCUGAUUCCCGCGGUGGCCACUAGAGGCCUCUCUGUCCUCGCAGACGCCCGGGCUCCCUAGAGCCGGCCCGCCCCGCCUGCCGUGGGGCACACGCCCCCGGCCCCCUCCCCCGCCUCGGGGGCUGGAGAGAUGAGGGCCAGCAUCGUUCACCCCUCUGCCGGGGGUGGGCAGCCUUUGCUCUCCCAACACACACUGGGGCGAAGGAAGACCUGCCCUUCCCAAAGGUUGGUCCCUGUCCCCCCAGCUCCACCUUCCUUCUUCCUCCCACACUCUCAUCCCCUUACCUUGUGAAUCCAGCCUCAAGCCUGCCUCAUGGUGCCCCAGGUGCUGAGCUGCCCCCCAAGUCUCCGAGGGAGCUUGUAGUGUAUAUGAUACUCCCCCCGCCCCCGCCCCAACUUUUCCCUGGUAGCAGAGCGCCGGGGAACCGCCGAUUGGGAAGAGAGACCCGCGGUGCCCACACUCAGCUCCGUCAGCCCCAGUCUGAGGUGGAGCCCAGCCUUCUCAGGGUAGUCACUGUUUACUUGUGUCACACACACACACACACAGCAGAAGGAGUGUAUUAGAAGCACCUCAUGCAACCUUGCCGGCGGGAGUGUAAACUGGUACAACCUCUUUGAAGAGUGAUUUGACAAUAUCUAUCAAAAAUAUUUUUAAAAUGCAGACACCUUUUGUCUAGCAAUUCCACUUUUAGGGAUUUACGCUGUAGAUAAAAUGUAUAUACAUAUAACCUCGUAUGUGGGUGGGUGUUAAUUGCCUCCUUCUUUGUAAUCGCAAAACACUUGAAAUAACCUAAGUGUCCACCAAGAAGGGACUGGUUAAAUAGAUGCUGCUAUGUCUAUAGCAAAGAAUGCCAUGCAGUCAUGAAAAGUGAUGAGGUGGAACAUAGACCAGUAAAUGAAACAAAGCAAGAUUCAUAACUAGAGUGAUGGCGUAUUCCCUCUAGGGGGAAUAUAAAGUAGACACAGAUAUAAGUGUAUACUUUUCAUUUUUUUGCUGAGGAAGAUUCACCCUGAGCUCGCCUCCAUGCCAAUCUUCCUUUACUUUGCACGUGGGUUGCUGCCACAGCAUGACCAACAAGUAAUGUAGGAUCUGAACCCACGAACCCAGGCUGCCAAAGCAGAGCACACUGAACCCAAGCACUACACAGGGCGGGCCCCUACAUAUAUACUUCUGUAUAGUUCAGUAGGGUCCACAAGAAGUGGGGAUCAUGGCUAAUCACAGGGAGCGGGGCUGGGGGACUGGAUAGGAGUCGUCUAAGAUGGGAGGG